rnacentral:rRNA from 1 species
CGCGUAGGCGGCUUGGCAAGUCGGAUGUGAAAUCCCUCGGCUCAACCAAGGAAGUGCAUCCGAAACUGCCGAGCUUGAGUACUUAAGAGGAUCACGGAAUUCCCGGUGUAGAGGUGAAAUUCGUAGAUAUCGGGAGGAACACCAGUGGCGAAGGCGGCGAUCUGGGAAGAUACUGACGCUGAGGUGCGAAAGCGUGGGGAGCAAACA